rnacentral:rRNA from 1 species
GACGAACGCUGGCGGCGUGCUUAACACAUGCAAGUCGAACGAAGUGGCGAACGGGUGAGUAACGCGUAAUCAACCUGCCCUUCAGAGGGGGACAACAGUUGAAAACGACGACUAAUACCGCAUACUGAUGGAGGGGAUUGCGUCUGAUUAGGUAGUUGGAGGGGUAACGGCCUACCAAGGUGAUGAUCAGUAGCCGAUCUGAGAGGAGGAACGGGCACAGUGGGACGGAGACACGGGCCAUACUACUACGGGAGGCAGCAGUGGGGAAUCUUCCGCAAUGGACGAAAGUCUGACGGAGCAACGCCGCGUGAGUGAUGACGGCCUUCGGGUUGUAAAGCUCUGUUAAUCGGGACGCGGUACCGGAAUAGAAUGUCACGGCUAACUUCGUGCCAGCAGCCGCGGUAAUUC